rnacentral:rRNA from 1 species
UACGUAGGGCGCAAGCGUUAUCCGGAAUUAUUGGGCGUAAAGAGCUCGUAGGCGGUUUGUCGCGUCUGCCGUGAAAGUCCGGGGCUCAACUCCGGAUCUGCGGUGGGUACGGGCAGACUAGAGUGAUGUAGGGGUGACUGGAAUUCCUGGUGUAGCGGUGGAAUGCGCAGAUAUCAGGAGGAACACCGAUGGCGAAGGCAGGUCACUGGGCCGCAACUGACGCUGAGGAGCGAAAGCAUGGGGAGCGAACAGG